rnacentral:rRNA from 1 species
UACGUAGGGUGCAAGCGUUAAUCGGAAUUACUGGGCGUAAAGCGUGCGCAGGCGGUUAUGCAAGACAGAUGUGAAAUCCCCGGGCUCAACCUGGGAACUGCAUUUGUGACUGCAUGGCUAGAGUACGGUAGAGGGGGAUGGAAUUCCGCGUGUAGCGGUGAAAUGCGUAGAUAUGCGGAGGAACACCGAUGGCGAAGGCAAUCCCCUGGACCUGUACUGACGCUCAUGCACGAAAGCGUGGGGAGCAAACAGG